rnacentral:rRNA from 1 species
UACGGGGGGGGGCAAGCGUUGUUCGGAAUUACUGGGCGUAAAGGGCUCGUAGGCGGCCAACUAAGUCGGAUGUGAAAUCCCCAGGCUUAACCUGGGAACUGCAUCCGAUACUGGAUGGCUUGAAUCCGGGAGAGGGAUGCAGAAUUCCAGGUGUAGCGGUGAAAUGCGUAGAUAUCUGGAGGAAUACCGGUGGCGAAGGCGGCAUCCUGGACCGGCAUUGACGCUGGUGAGCGAAAGCUAGGGGAGCAAACGGG